rnacentral:rRNA from 1 species
AACGCGAAGAACCUUACCUGGGCUUGAAGUGCACCGGACCAUCUUUGGAAACAGAGACUUCCCGCAAGGGACUGGUGUAGAGGUGCUGCAUGGCUGUCGUCAGCUCGUGUCGUGAGAUGUUGGGUUAAGUCCCGCAACGAGCGCAACCCUCGUCCUAUGUUGCCAGCGGGUCAUGCCGGGGACUCAUGGGAGACUGCCGGGGUCAACUCGGAGGAAGGUGGGGAUGACGUCAAGUCAUCAUGCCCCUUAUGUCUUGGGCUGCAAACAUGCUACAAUGGCCGGUACAGAGGGCUGCGAGACCGCGAGGUUAAGCGAAUCCCGGAAAGCCGGUCUCAGUUCGGAUCGGGGUCUGCAACUCGGCCCCGUGAAGCUGGAGUCGCUAGUAAUCGCGGAUCAGCAACGCCGCGGUGAAUACGUUCCCGGGCCUUGUACACACCGACUGUAC